rnacentral:lncRNA from 1 species
UAUGUCACAAAAAUAGUCUUCAAAAACUAAAAUGACCAAAAUAGCAUUUUAUCUUUUGAAAAAUUUAAAUUUUUUUUAUUUUUCAAAAUUUGAAAUCUUAUCCCCAAAAUCCCACUCCCCAACUCUAAACCCUAAAACCUAAACUCUAAACCCUAAACUCUAAACCCUAAAACCUAAACUCUAAACCCUAAACCCUAAACUCUAAACCCCCUAAACCCUAAACUCUAAACCCUAAACCUUAAACCCUAAACUCUAAACUCUAAACCCUAAACCCU